CCUACGGGCGGCAGCAGUGGGGAAUAUUGGACAAUGGGCGAAAGCCUGAUCCAGCCAUGCCGCGUGUGUGAAGAAGGCCUUCGGGUUGUAAAGCACUUUCAGUGGGGAAGAAAGCCUUGGGGCUAAUACCCUCGAGGAAGGACAUCACCCACAGAAGAAACACCGGCUAACUCCGUGCCAGCAGCCGCGGUAAUACGGAGGGUGCGAGCGUUAAUCGGAAUUACUGGGCGUAAAGCGCGCGUAGGCGGUCUGAUAAGCCGGUUGUGAAAGCCCCGGGCUCAACCUGGGAACGGCAUCCGGAACUGUCAGGCUAGAGUGCAGGAGAGGAAGGUAGAAUUCCCGGUGUAGCGGUGAAAUGCGUAGAGAUCGGGAGGAAUACCAGUGGCGAAGGCGGCCUUCUGGACUGACACUGACGCUGAGGUGCGAAAGCGUGGGUAGCAAACAGGAUUAGAUACCCUUGUAGUC
rnacentral:rRNA from 1 species